GAUGAACGCUGGCGGCGUGCUUAACACAUGCAAGUCGAACGGUGAAGGCGGAGCUUGCUCUGCUGGAUCAGUGGCGAACGGGGGAGUAACACGUGAGCAAUCUGCCCCUGACUCGGGGAUAAGCGCUGGAAACGGCGUCUAAUACUGGAUACGAGCGGAGAAGGCAUCUUCAGCAGCUGGAAAGAAUUUCGGUCAGGGAGGAGCUCGCGGCCGAGCAGCUUGUUGGUGAGGUAAUGGCUCACCAAGGCGUCGACGGGUAGCCGGCCUGAGAGGGUGCCCGGCCACACUCUCACUGAGACUCCUCCCCGACUCCUCCUGGAGGCAGCAGUGUGCCCGCUUGCACACUCGGCGAAAGCCUGCUGCACCCCCUCCUCUUGAGGGCCGACGGCCUUCGGGUUCUCAACCUCUUUUAGCAGGGAAGAAGCGCCCUUGACGGUACCUGCAGAACACGCGCCGGCUAACUACGUG
rnacentral:rRNA from 1 species